UUUAAUUCACUAAUACAGAAAUACUGUAGUAUCUACAUAUUCAUUAGGAGUAUUAUGGUUUUCUCUCAGUGAUAAUUAUAAAAGUAAAAGGGAGUAAAAUCAUAGAGAUAGAAAGAGGGAGAAAACCAGAAAGCAAGUGUGUCCUCAACUCUUUGGAAAUAAUUACAUUCCUUAAAGUCUUCACAAUAAGUGUUAUCAUAGUCUGCUUUAUCCAUAUCUAGACUAGCCAGCUAUGGCUGAGCGAUUUCACUCAGAGGUAUUCACCCAAAAGAAAUGAAAAUACACGUCAAAACAAAAAAUGUGUAUACCUUUAACAAUGUUUAAGCAUAAAGAUGUUUAUAGCAGCUUCAUUCAUAAUACCCUGGAAAUAACUCACCGUUUAUCAAUAGGAGAGUGGACACAAGAAUCGUGGUACAGUCAUACAAUAGCAGCUACCCAGCAUUAUAGACGAAUCAACUGCUAAUGCUUGCAAAGCUUAAUAAACCUCAAAAACAUUAUGUUAAGCAAGAGCAGUGGACAAAAAGGACAUACAUCAUUUAUAUAAAGACAAGAAUUUUAAUCACUUUCCUCACUGUUGCUAUAUAGUACUUUUUCUAGUUUCUCAAAAUCCCUUUGAUCACAUUGUAAUACUCCAGUGUCCACCCCAGUGUUCCUCUGUGUCAAGGACCCUAUAUUAUUUAUCUCUGUAACUCAGGGCCUAACACAGGAUCUAGUACACUUAAAAAUCUUAGGGGCCGGCCCCAUGGUCUAGAGGUUAAGUUUGGCAUGCUCCACUUCAGUGGCCUGGGUUCAGCUCACAGGAGCAGACAUACACCACUCAUCAGUGGCCAUACUGUGGCAGAGACCUACAUACAAAAUAGAGGAAGAUUGGCACAGAUGUUAGCUCAGGGCAAAUCUUCCUCAAGCAAAAAGAGGAAGAUUGGCAAUAGAUGUUAGCUCAGGGUGAAUCUUUCUCAGAAAACAAACAAACAAACAAACAAAACAAAACAAAAACUUAGUAAAUGUUUUCUGAAUAGCCAGCCCAGUUUCUGAGUUGCCCCCAGAUAGUCUAAGAUGGCCUCCAACAUUCCUGCCUCCUGAUGUACACUCUUUGUAUCAUCCUUUCCCUUUGAGUGCAGGUAGGACUUGUGAAUAUGACACAGCAGUCACUUCCAUGAUUACAUUACAUUAUGUAAGACCCCACUGUAGCAGAUUGGAAGAGAUUCUCCAGCUGGCCGUUAAUUAGGAAGCAAGCAGCCAUGUUGUGAAAGGCCCCCACAGAUAAGACCUGAGAGUAGCCUCCAGGAGGUGAGAAUGAUCCUGACUAACAGCCAUCAAGAAAAUGAAGACCUCUGGCCAGUCGGUGGCAUAGUGGUUAAGUUGGUGUGUUCUACUUUGGGGGCUCAGGGUUCGCAGGUUCUGAUCUCAAGUGUAGACCUGCACACCACUCAUCAAGCCAUGGUGUCAUGGUGUCCCACAUAAAAUAGAGGAAGGUUGGCAGGGACAGUGGUUCAGUGACAAUCUUCCUCAAGCAGAAAGAGGAAGCUUGGCAACAGAUGUUAGCUCAGGGCCAAUCUUCCUCACAAAAGGAAGAAGAAAGAAAGGAAGGAAGGAAAGAAAAAAAAAGAAAAGAAGAAAGGAAGAAAGGAAAAGAAAAUGAAGACCUCAAUCCUACAACUGCAAGGAAAUGAAUUCUGCUAACAACCUGAAUGAGCCUGGGAGAGGACCCCAAACUCCAGGCAAUUAAAGCAAUUCUCCUUAUAUGGAAUAGACUCACAGUAGAAAUUAAGGAAAUUUUAGCAGGAGCUUGCUUUGAUUUCGAAUCUUCUGCUUGGUUAUAUAAUAUCUAUGAAGCUGGGAGGCAAGUCAUACCUAAAUGCAACUACACAAAGUUCAUUUUACUAGGAAAGCAGUGAACUGUCGAUUUGUACUAUCUCUGGAGACUGAACAUUUUCUGGGAAUUGAAUUCUAGGUAAGUAAUAGAAUGAGGAAUCAGUAAUGGGACAUGUCACAGGAGAAAAGUCUAUAAAUCAGAGCAAGGAUUCCCAAGAGAGAGGAUGGAAGCCAACGUAGAAAAAGGCAGGAGUCCAAAUCCAGAAAGUAAAGGAAUCUAAAACUUUUAGUGGUAAUGCAAAACUGAAUUUGAAAAUAGAUGCUUACGUUUUUAAACGCUUAUAGUUGUUUCUUUUGUCAUAAACUUCAUGUAGUUAUACUACUACUUUAGUACUAUCUACUUUAGCAAAUGUUCUCUCUCACUGUUUCAUCAGUCUAUUUUACCCUGAUCAAUUCAAGGUCCCACCAUUGUGCUGCAUAGACAAGUUCAGGAAGAAUUUUAACACACAC
rnacentral:lncRNA from 1 species